GAGUGUUUGUGGCUCUUGGAAUGAUUGACUUUGUUCAGUGACUACCAUUAAGAUUUUCCAAGGACUGACUCAUCCCAAAUUUUUGUUGUAUUACCAAAAAAACAGAUUCCUUAUCAGAAUUUGGAAUAGAAUGUGAUCUCUAUUGCAAAAAGUAAUUUUAAAAGAAAGCUACAUUUAUUUUAGAGUAGUGCUCCUAACAUGUAUUAUCAACUUUGUGGAUUACAUUGAAGGAAAAUUUAAAACUGGGGCCUUGAAUAUUUAUUUUUUGAAACUACCAUGUUAAAUACUGAAGUAUAAUUUGAGGGAGUUACAAAGUUAUGAUAAACAUUGAUCUGAUUAUUUUAAAAAAUAAUUGUGGUAGAUAAACAUACUGGAGGUGAGUCAAAUUGAAUUCAUAUAGUAACAUGCAGCCUUAAGUCCUAGUUACUUAAAGGUACUCAGCCUGGAGUGAAAAUCCUGGGUACUGACUUUGAGAGGGGUGAGUGUGCGUGUUGUCAAAGUUUCUGAACGCAGUUCAUGUAGCCUCAUUAGCAAAAGUUUUAAGAAAUGGCUCUAUCAAAGAAGCAAUUACAGCUUUAUUCAGAAAUAUAAAAGUGGAAUUUAUGUACAUGUCAUAAGUGGUACCCACUUCCCCUUUUUACUGUAGGUGGAUAACUCUUAGGAUUUAACUCUUUGAAUAUUAUCUCUUGAAUAAAGCGUGUGUUAAUGUUAACAAACCUACCUAAUUUUUGCCCUUUCAAUGACUUACAGUGGAGAGCCAGUACAUCUUAACUACUGUUGUAGUGAUGGUAUCAACCUUAUGGUUACUUAGCUCUGCAUUUGUUGCUUUGUUUUUUUUCCCACUUCAAAUCACAAAAUAAGUAGAUUUUGUUUUCUGAAAACUCCACAGCAUUUGAAUACAAAAAGUUGUGCCAGAUUGUUUGCCCUAAUUCAGUGUGUUUAACAAAUAUUUCAGUACACACUAUGUAUUAGGCCCUGUGUGGAAAGUGUUAAGGGGCAGACAAAAUACUGAAUAAUCUCUACAAGUUUAUUUGUGGUCUAUACUACUUUUGUAACUGGGGUUACAAAAAUUAUAGAAAUUUUUUUUCCUUUAUUUAUAUGCAUAUUCAUGAUUAUAAUUUGGCUUUGUUUGUGAUUAAUGUUUUCUUAAGAUUUUCACAUUAUGGAAUACCUCAAAAGAAGUUGUCUAAGGAUUGGGAUAGAGAGUAUGUUUCAUAAAAUUGUAGAUGUUUAGAAUUUUUUAAAACCCUACAAAUUAGUAUAUGAUUGUUUUAUAUAAGUAAGAUAGGAGCAACACUUUAAAUUAUUUGUGGGAGAAUACGGCAUUAAAGGUGAUUUUAAA
rnacentral:lncRNA from 1 species